CCCUUAGAUGUUCUGGGCCGCACGCGUGCUACACUGAGUGGAUCAGCGGGUCAGGUUGCGCGAAAGUGUUUCCUAAUCUUUAAAUCCGCUCGUGAUGGGGAUUGACGGUUGCAAUUUUCCGUCAUGAACGAGGAAUACCUUGUAAGCGCGGGUCAUCAUCCCGCGCUGAAUACGUCCCUGCCCUUUGUACACACCGCCCGUCGCUCCCACCGAUUGAGUGGUCCGGUGAGGCUUUGGGAUCUGGGCGGAAAGAGCGUUUCGCUGUUUCUGCCCGGAAAACUCAGUCGAACCUUAUCAUUUAGAGGAAGGAGAAGUCGUAACA
rnacentral:rRNA from 1 species